AAGAUAAUAACCAAAGCCACCCCUAAAUGUUGCCUCGAAACAUCCCUUUCUUUUCAAAUUGAACAUGGCACCAGUAUCACGAAAUCGAAAUUGUGCAUCUGGAUCCAGACAGUUGUUGGAAAGUUCCACAAAAGAUAACUUUCCCCAAGUCUCCUCCGAUUGUAGUAGUCUUGUGUCAUUUAUACACAUCCCUGUCUGUACAUGUUUCACAAAGAAGCAAGCAGCGCCU